AUUGAACGCUGGCGGCCAGGCCUAACACAUGCAAGUCGAGCGGUAGAGAGGUGCUUGCAUCUCUUGAGAGCGGCGGACGGGUGAGUAAUGCCUAGGAAUCUGCCUAGUGGUGGGGGGAUAACGUUCGGAAACGGACGCUAAUACCGCAUACGUCCUACGGGAGAAAGCGGGGGGAUCUUCGGACCUCGCGCCAUUAGAUGAGCCUAGGUCGGAUUAGCUAGUUGGUGAGGUAAUGGCUCACCAAGGCGACGAUCCGUAACUGGUCUGAGAGGAUGAUCAGUCACACUGGAACUGAGACACGGUCCAGACUCCUACGGGAGGCAGCAGUGGGGAAUAUUGGACAAUGGGCGAAAGCCUGAUCCAGCCAUGCCGCGUGUGUGAAGAAGGUCUUCGGAUUGUAAAGCACUUUAAGUUGGGAGGAAGGGUAGUAACCUAAUACGUUGCUACUUUGACGUUACCGACAGAAUAAGCACCGGCUAACUUCGUG
rnacentral:rRNA from 1 species